rnacentral:rRNA from 1 species
AUUGAACGCUGGCGGCAUGCUUUACACAUGCAAGUCGAACGGUAACAGGUUAAGCUGACGAGUGGCGAACGGGUGAGUAAUGCAUCGGAACGUGCCCGAUCGUGGGGGAUAACGCAGAGAAAGCUGCGCUAAUACCGCAUACGAUCUGAGGAUGAAAGCGGGGGACCGUAAGGCCUCGCGCGAUCGGAGCGGCCGAUGUCAGAUUAGGUAGUUGGUGGGGUAAAGGCCCACCAAGCCGACGAUCUGUAGCUGGUCUGAGAGGACGACCAGCCACACUGGGACUGAGACACGGCCCAGACUCCUACGGGAGGCAGCAGUGGGGAAUUUUGGACAAUGGGCGAAAGCCUGAUCCAGCAAUGCCGCGUGCAGGAAGAAGGCCUUCGGGUUGUAAACUGCUUUUGUACGGAGCGAAAAGGUCCUUUCUAAUACAAGGGGCUCAUGACGGUACCGUAAGAAUAAGCACCGGCUAACUACGUGCCAGCCGCCGCAGUAAUAC